rnacentral:lncRNA from 1 species
UAAUAAUAAAAUAAGUUUUAUAUAAUAUCCAAAUAAUAACAACAAAAUAUGAACAACUAAUAGUAAUAUGUGUUGUAGGCCAAUUUUGGGCCUGUGUAUAUCAAGAUUACAUGGGCCCAUUUAUAACCUAAUCCCUAAACCCCAAAACCCAAUACAAAUUAAACUCAACUAACCCCUCAGCUCACCACCCCAAAUUACCCGGGCCCGAAUACAAAUAACCCAAAACCUAUACAUAAAACCCAAGCCCGUUUACAACACUUUAACCCAAACUCUAAGCCCAGUAUUAACCUAAGCCCAAACUAACCCCAAGCAGCCCAAAUGAAAAACAAAUAAAAAAACCCUAGCCCUCUAGCUUUUUGGCGCCGCAACAUCCCAUCCACCACCGACCUCUGUCACCAAAGCCUGCAGCACCAUUCACCUGCCCUCUGAGCCCCCAUGCCGUUUGUCACCUCCACCAUUCAAUUGCUCCUGCAAAUAGAAUACAAUAGAAGUAAAAAAAUAAAGGUAAAAGGGUUAUAAAAACCCGAAUCAAAGAUUGUAAAAAGGUCAGCAGUUCAAAAAGCAGAAAAUACAAAAACAUUCGGCAAUCUUAAUCAAAUUUCAACAACCGAUAUACAAAAGCAAAUAACACCAAAAGGCUUCGAUAUUUAUACCAAAGUCGCAGCAAGAUAUAUAAAAAAAAAGGGAAUCAAGGUCUACUUAUUUUGCUUUUCAUUUUUUCGAAUCUGUGAGUAUAUAUAAUAUUUAUUCCAUACAUAAACCAUACAUAUAUAUAUUAAAUAAAAAUAUAAAAAAGGGAGAAAAAUUACCUUUUUUUGAAACUCUGGCCACGGUGGCCGGCGACGACAGCGCACGGCGGUCCGGUGACCGGCCAUUGGCCGGAAAUCGCUCAGCUCUCCCU